AAAAAGAUAAGCUAAUUUAAGCUUUUGGGUUCAUACCCCGAAUAUAAAGAAUUCCUUUUCUUUUUA
rnacentral:tRNA from 1 species